rnacentral:rRNA from 1 species
CCUACGGGUGGCAGCAGUGAGGAAUAUUGGUCAAUGGACGAGAGCCUGAACCAGCCAAGUAGCGUGAAGGAUGACUGCCCUAUGGGUUGUAAACUUCUUUUAUAUGGGAAUAAAAUGUUCCACGUGUGGGAUUUUGUAUGUACCUUAUGAAUAAGGAUCGGCUAACUCCGUGCCAGCAGCCGCGGUAAUACGGUGGAUCCGAGCGUUAUCCGGAUUUAUUGGGUUUAAAGGGAGCGUAGGUGGAUUGUUAAGUCAGUUGUGAAAGUUUGCGGGUCAACCGUAGCAUUGCAGUUGAAACUGGCAGUCUUGAGUGCAGUAGAGGUGGGCGGAAUGCGUGGUGUAGCGGUGAAAUGCUUAGAUAUCACGAAGAACUCCGAGUGCGAAGGCAGCUCACUGGACUGCAACUGACGCUGAGGCUCGAAAGUGUGGGGAUCAAACAGGAUUAGAUACCCUUGUAGUC